rnacentral:rRNA from 1 species
UACGUAGGGUGCGAGCGUUAAUCGGAAUUACUGGGCGUAAAGCGUGCGUAGGCGGUUCGCUGUGUCCGAUGUGAAAGCCCCCGGGCUUAACCUGGGAAUGGCAUUGGAAACUGGCGGGCUUGAGUGCGGCAGAGGGGGGUGGAAUUCCGCGUGUAGCAGUGAAAUGCGUAGAGAUGCGGAGGAACACCGAUGGCGAAGGCAGCCCCCUGGGUCGACACUGACGCUCAGGCACGAAAGCGUGGGGAGCAAACAGGG